CACUGUCACUCCUACGGGAGGCAGCAGUGGGGAAUAUUGCACAAUGGGGGAAACCCUGAUGCAGCCAUGCCGCGUGUGUGAAGAAGGCCUUCGGGUUGUAAAGCACUUUCAGUAGGGAGGAAGGUAGUGUAGUUAAUACCUGCAUUAUUUGACGUUACCUACAGAAGAAGCACCGGCUAACUCCGUGCCAGCAGCCGCGGUAAUACGGAGGGUGCGAGCGUUAAUCGGAAUUACUGGGCGUAAAGCGCAUGCAGGCGGCCUGUUAAGUCAGAUGUGAAAGCCCCGGGGCUUAACCUCGGAAUUGCAUUUGAAACUGGCAGGCUAGAGUCUUGUAGAGGGGGUAGAAUUUCAGGUGUAGCGGUGAAAUGCGUAGAGAUCUGAAGGAAUACCAGUGGCGAAGGCGGCCCCCUGGACAAAGACUGACGCUCAGAUGCGAAAGCGUGGGGAGCAAACAGGAUUAGAUACCCUGGUAG
rnacentral:rRNA from 1 species